UGUAAAAUAAGCUAAGCGUAAGCUGUUGGGUUCAUACCCCAAAAAUGAGUGUAGACUCUUUUACAA
rnacentral:tRNA from 2 species